rnacentral:lncRNA from 1 species
UUGAGAUGGCUUCAUCUCCGCCUUUCUAUUUUGGGUCUCCACCUAGCAGGGUUUCGAAUCCUCUGAUUCAGGAUUCCCAAUUCAGCAACGACAAUUUUGUUCCUAUAUUAGCAAUUCCAGAUGCGGCAGCUGCACCUUCACCACCACCCUCCUUCACCUCAGCCUCCGCCGCCGCUCGUAAGAACGGAGGUGGCUGCGUUCCGGUGAAGUAUGGGAA